GCCCCUGCUUCAUGUUGCAGCUUGUUUUACUUUUUUCUUCUUUUUUUAAUAAACACCAAUGAGGAAAACAAUCUCAGAGCAGAUCCACCCCAGUCAAAAGACUUAAAGUAAAACAGAUCCCAAAGUAUUUCACAAUUAUUAUUUCAUCAGCGUGAACAAGAACAACAGCUGACCCACAAUAUCAAGAAAAACAAACCAAGCACACCAAACACAAGCAUGAAGUUCCAGACAAGCUAAGAAUGGUUACUGUUCUCUAGAGACCACGUGUUGACAAGAAUCUAGGAUCUUCAGGCAACAAUGUUCAGUGGCAGAGAGCUCCAGCCCAAAGGAAAGGCAGCAAAAAUCUGCAAUUCCUGCUGUUUCAGGUACUGAAGAGACAGAAAGACGCUGAGAGCCGGAGGCAGUGAGCAGUUCCAACCCUUCCAGUAUCCAGCCAGCUGGGUUUGCAGUGUGCUUGCUUACAGAUCCAAGAGCUGCAACGCAACCUCAGCCCAGCGCUUCCUGCACACUUAUUUCCUGCUCAUCACAUGCUCUGCUGCAAUGGCUGAGGAAGGCUCUGACACUGGUCUCCCAAUGGCCUCCGCAACUUUGGAUCCAACCUGCAGGACAUUAAACACUUCAAGGCCCUAAACACAGUUGGCUACAUCCGGAUGUUCUGUCAGAUUCCUGUUAUUUCCUCAGCUCAUCUCUACUGUGAAAAGUAUCAGUGCUGUUUGGAUCAGAACCACUAGACAUAAGCUUCUCCCUCGUUGAAAGAACAGAGAUGACCACACAACACACAGCUGAGACUAUCACAGAUCACUGUUCUGGUUUCAUUAAAUUCACAUGACAGAUUUCAUUUAAAAUAGCCGAUGUCCAGCUUUUACUCUUAUUUCUAAAUAAUCUAACUUUUACUCUAUACCACUCAAAGGAAAAAAAAAACGUUUGUCACAGCAGGCAUCACCACCAACUCACUGAUUAACAAGAAGACUUUCUCCCUUGCAGGGAUACAGAAGAGGCCGUAGUCAACUUCAUGAGCCCUCAGGCUGAAAAGCAGUACUCCCCAAUACUUGCAUUUAGUGUUUUUUGUAUUCCGAACAACUAAUGGUCUUUAAUACACAUCUUAAAACUCCACCUGGGAAAUGCAGGACUGACUUCAAACUCUUGUUUCUGUGCUGAAGGGCAUUUUGUUCACCUCUCACCUUACACCUCAAAAGGUAUAUAAUUGCCUCAAAGUAUGUGAAUAACUCGAUAUUCCUACUAGCAUUCUAUAUAGAGAAAGGAUUAGGCUUAUAAAAACUGCUUACUUUACAAUGCAGAGUUUCUUUUCUGCUCUCAGCAGUUUAUCAGAAUUUUUAUUACUGCAAUGCUGAGAACUUGCUUCCCCAGUACAAGCUCCAGAAGAAAUAAAAAAGAACCACUUAAAGAGGAGAUCACAUGGACAAAGGAACUUGAAAUUAAACUGAUCACAUGCACAUUCUUCUCAUUUGGCCUUCUGGAAGAAUUCAAGUUACUCCUUUCAGUUCAGCAGAUGUCAGAGAAAAGACGAGGGGCAUGAAGACGGACAGCAUCAGCACAGCUCAUUCACCUGGUUAACGUUCUCACCAGGUGCGUCAGCGUCAGGCAGGAUAUUCACAAGGAGACAGGCAGAACAGAUUGCUCAGCAUUUGCAGCAGUGGGGAGAGGAGAAUAAAGACAUCUGAUGAAACACUGCUUGUGUUGUAGGAACAGAGCAACAGAGAACAGCUAGAUCAGCAUUUCACUGCAGAAGUACUUACACGUCCUGCUGCCCAAGAACCUGCAGUCAUCAUGCUCCAGGGAUUUUGCUGUAUAUAUUGCCACCAGAUUAAAUGGAGAACAUGCUCUUAAUAGUGCCAGUGAGAGAGGAGUACAAAGUAAAGCAGCAACUCUUACUCAUACACAGGAACAUCAGAAAUGCAGAGCAGAGAGUGCGCAUACAGAUAUGCACCAGAGAAGGAGCUGAACACGGCAGAGACUAGUGGAUCCAGCCAAGGAGUUUGGUAAGACUUGGACACUGACUAGAGGAUGAGCAAAGGACAACUGAGAAGUGCUACUGAGGCUAAGAGCUAAGCCCAGAAACUUGACAAUACAGCAAAGAACACAAAAAGUACACUACACAGGCAAACUCUGUGCUAAGUUAAUGCAUGAAUGCAUACAAUAAGAUGACAGAAAGAUUUCACAAGGGACAACAAAACAAAGCACCUACACAAGUUUCAGAAAUGCAUACCACCAUCAUUAGGUAUCUAAGGCUUAUAAUUCAACACGCUGCAGCUAUAAGAAUGCUAGGACUGUUCUUACUACUGUUUCUACCCAAAGAGAGUUAACACGAUAUCACAGUAUCACAGAAGUGUUCACUCCAAUUAACAAAAAUAUCUGUAGAUUUAUAUUGAUCAAUGCAAUGCUUUAGUAAAGACAAAACAGUAGAAAUUAUGGUGGAUUCUUAAGACAAAUCUCCAUUAGAAAAAUGGCAGAAUACGUCAAAAAUAGAACCACUUAGCUGUCAGUGUUUGAUUACAAGAAAAAUCACAAAGACCUGAAACAGACUACCAGACACUUUAACCAUUAGCAGUGCAAAGAAACUGGAAGGAACUCUCUUCCAAACUACAAAACAGAAUGCACGUAUUAAAAGGUUUGCUAAGGAACAUUUUUUUUCCCUUCUCUUCCACUCACACGCAGUAUCAGAAUAGAACAGUAGCUGUACUGCUGUAAACUGCUUUAGACUCAAAGAAUGCAUGAUGGGGCCCAUGUCCCAAAUAGUCAGAAAGAGCCCGUAAGGUGUGCAGGACUACUAACAUCAAAAGUUCUUGCUGUGGCAAAAAAGAGACAAAUCUCACUGGAAGGCAGCUGGAGGACAAAUACUUAACUGUGAAGGAGAAAGAUACUCUGGAAUUUUCCCCACAAUAAUAGCUCAAGAGACAGAGCCACACUCUUCCAAGACAGAAGCAAAGCUGAAGGAAUCAAGCAUGUACAACUGAUUAUAUUUUGAAUAUCCAUCUGAUCCAAAGCAAAGAGCAUCUCAGGUACAAACUUUAUUAUACAAGCAAGGUAAUCCCCAGAUUCUUCACUCAGCCACGUAAGUGAAAAUACCAGAAACAGUCCAACUAGAAUCAAAGACAGCAAAAAUAGACACACACAUAUCUUUCACUGAUUCUUAGUUCUCAUUCUCUUCGCCCCAGUGAUGACAGGCUGACAGAUAGAAGGAAAUACACAUCCACCCCACAGUCUUUCGAUACAAGUAAAUACAAAAAAAUCAAGUGUUUAUUGGAAGUCUGCAUGAAGGCACAGAUGAGCUUGAUUACAGACACAUUGUAACAAUUACAAAGAUAUGUAAACACGUUGAGAUAUACAACAAAGCAGUAAUACAGCUAAUACAGUGUUAAAAAAGAACAACAAACUUUCGUAUCUGAGGUUCGUUCAAUUAUAAGAUCUGAUUCACACCAACACAGCGUCAUGUUUUUAAGUCAUCACUUGGAUUCACACUCAACAAAUCUGCGCUUUGACUGUUGUUAUUAACUGGUGUAUUUAUAAAUUGGAUCCAAAUUUGAACAGGCUUCCUUCCCUAGGACCAGGAAAACAAAGGAAUAACCAGCUAGACACCCAUCCAGCCUAGAAUGAGGCUUCAGAGAUUCCCUAAACAUGUAAGAGCAAUCACCGAUGUACUGAAAUUAAAUAUAAGCUUCAGAAAAGCUCAAGGACGUUAAUUCCACUUUCACUUGCAUUUGAGGAAAUUGCUGAAUUUCUGCAGGAAAGGUGAUUUUUUUUCUUCCUCCACAGGAGGCUUAGAUUUCAUCUGAAACACCUGCCAAAACAAAAGUCAGCAAUCACAAACUAAAGUGCCUUGGACAGCUUAGGCUUUACCACUAGAAUAAAACGCCUUUGUUUACAGAUACAAUAUUAAUUCAUAUAGUGAGAAAACUCACCUUUGCAAGUAGAAUACUAUUUCCAAUAUUUCUGUGGAAAGGGGCAUCACUUUUUUUAUUAUUAUUAUUAGAUACCAGAGUCAAGAACUUAAAAAAAAAAAACAACUGCAACACAGCUCUUUGAAAAAUGUUGUGGUUCAGGCCUAGCCAAAGAGUACUCUGAGCAGCAACUUACUACAGGGACACACAGUUUUCUCAACCUCAACCACCUGGCCAACUCUCCACUCCCCAUCUACAAAAGCUUUAUAACCUUUGGAGCCCAGCUGCAGUGAGGAAAGACUCCUGUCUGGGUAAGAUAUGCUGAGAAAAACCUAGCAUAGCUACAUUUCUACCGACUCUGCAGCCACAUCAUCCCAACAUAAAGAUGAGGUAGUACUUUUCUUUGGAGCCCAACUAGUUGAACAGGAAAGGAACAAAGACUAUUCUCCCUACUGUAGCAGCUGUCUGUUAGUGCAGCACCAAAUUUCUGCACUUUUCCCCUCUUCUUCAGGGCACAUUACUAAUGCAAGCACAGGAAUAGCUGCUUAAAAGAGAAAUCAUAUUAUGAGCGUACAAUCCCACCUGAACUAAGACUGAAUCAUAAAGGCCACAUUAUAGCACACUGAGUGACUUCCUCCAAUCCACAAAGUGGCACUGUUUCUUAACCUCUAUUUGUACUGGGACUAGUGGUUUUUACCCAAAGAGAACAUGAAAGAUAUCCUGAGUACUUAUAACAGUGAAAUGCAGAAUUUAAAAAGCAAAAAUAGAAAAAUAAAAAUUAACAAAUCUAGUCCAAAUCCAAAAAAAGGUUGGGAGAGAAAUUCAGCUCAUUUGAGAACCGACGAAACCAGAUUGUCUCUAUGCAUGCAGUUCAUUUGGAACUUAUGGGCUGCAUUUUCCCUCCCUUCAAGAGGGCAGCUCCUUCCCUUUUAAGGAGGUUGUUGUAAUGUACACACGUAUCAAGAUUUCAUAGCUUACACCAAUAAGCCUUCUGGUUUUUUUUAUGAGAUGGCUUGAACUGGAGAAAUAUGCUCUGCAUAGUUCAUACUCCGUAGACUCCCACGGAUCAAAAAGAAACAAUCUGCCACGACUAAAACAAAGGAAACAUUGGAAAAAAUGGAAUAGUAUUAGAACUUAUACUGCUUGUAAAACUAAACACUAGAGGGAAAAAAAAAAAAAAAGGGAAAAGAAAAACAACCAAACCACUGUAAUACUUUAAAGAGGUCCCUGGAUGCAUCCUCUUAAUAAGCAAUAACCAAUAUUGAGAAUGAAAGACUGUGACCUUUGAUGUCUAAAGUAGCCAAGGCUCCAUGAUGAGCUUCCAUAUUUAACUAAAUAUACGGAGUCUAAGCUGUCUCCUGUUAACAGUGCAGCUUGCACAGAUUCCAGGAAGCUCCAACAUUUUUGCUGCUUCCAAGACUGUACUUUUCAUUCAGUUGAAGUGCACAGGAAUUCCACUCAGAUGGAUUCAUGAACCUGAGCAUUUUAACAGGACAAGGAGUCCUGUUUAGCUCUGGUACAGCAAGACAGAAAAGCAAUGUUACUUUCCUGGGAAACUCUGAUAAUCCUUUCUGGCCUUGGGAAUAUGCUCUUAGAGGUGAUUAUAAUUAAAACAAUCUUAUCUGGCUUUUAGCUGGAAGACUAUCUCUGAACAAUCCCAUUUCUUCUUCCAAAGAACUUCUCUGGAACAAGUUCUGGAUAAAAUGAACUCAAUGCUCUACAGAGAUCAGCUGCAUUCCAGUGUCGAAACCAGAUCCCUUGAGAGAAAAAGUAAAAAAGAAAGCUGUUUGGUUGUCAGAGAAGUAAGUACUGCUGAAACAGCCACACCAUUUAUUUAUUUAUUUUAAACCUUUAGCUAUAAACAGGCACACUCACAAAAUGUUCAUCACAGCUAAAAGUUGCUUCUGUGACCUUGCACAACUCGCGAUGCUGCAUCGUGUAACCCACAGGCAUCAGAAAUGAUGAGGACAGCAGAAACCUACCCGGAUGCCUCUGAGAUAAAAUAAAGAAGCUAAGCCAGACCUCUCUGUCAAGGCAGUUUCUCUAGCCUAUGGGAGAUUCUCACAAAAUCACCACUGCAGAACGAUAAUUCAUGACCAUAAUUCACAAGGAAAACUGAAAAUCCAUUUACAUUUAUUAGGAGAUGGUUGUGCACAAUUCCUUAUCUUCUUCAAAAAGUCUACAAAUAGAGUUCAACACUUCUGAUUGCAAGCACAUGUUUCUUCAACGUUCUUAAUUAGGUAAGGCCAAUUUAGUGGCUUGUUACAUUUUCAGGAUUUAGUAUACAUUUGGCAGUUCUUUACUUUCACCUGGUUAACAGUCUCAUUGGAAUAGUACGGAGAGUUCACUAAGACACUUCAUAACAGCAGCUGAACUUGAGUUACACAAACUCAGUUUUGGAAUAUGCAUCAAAUGUUAUUCGAGGCAAAUUUCCAUUUUAAGGUCUUUGUACAACAUCAUUAAAGGCUUCCCCCCACCCACCAGCAUUUAUACUAGUACUACUAUGGGCUCACACUCCAUAGAGCCAUACGACCAAAAAUCUCAAAGCACUUCAGAAAGGAGGACACCAUUUUUAAUAGUGAUAUGGUCGAGCUGGAAUCCUGCUUAUAAAAGAAUAUAUUUUUUUUCUCUGUCUUCUGCUUACAAAACCAAUCCUACCUAUCUUGACCUUAGUCUCACCUCUGACUGCCUGUCAUUUUCUCACAUGCAAUCCUAUCACUGAUUCAGGAGCUGUGUUUAAUUGCAAUGCUCACAGCUGCACUUCCUCUGUGGAAAAAUGAGCACCUGCGAUGGGCAAUUAUUUUCAGAUGGAAGCACUGGUCGAAUUGUAGAUCUGCCACAAUCUUGAGUAUCACUUUAUCAGAAAGUCACUGUCAUAACUAACAUAAUUUGAUAAUGCACUUGAUCCCAUACUGGUUUAACAAGUGUAAUAGGCUAGGUAUGCAUUUCUCUAUAUUCUCUAUGAGCCGAAACUACAUAGAUACAAAUUCUAGUUUUGCCUUAAGCUGAACCUUUCACAACAUUGUUUUAACUUACUACUUCGAUUUAGAGCACUGAUUUUAUACAGAUAUUCAGUCUCCAAUUCUUACUGAAUAGUUGAGUGGCAAACAUGGAAAAUAUACGUACAAGUGUUACUAUACUACCAGAAUGCUGUACUUCCUUCUCAAAAGUGUCCUUAAUAAAGCAUUAGGCAUGUCAAACAAA